CAAGUCGACGGCAGCGGGGUAGUGCUUGCACUACUGUCCGGCGAGUGGAGAACGGGUGAGUAAUAUAUCGGAACGUACCGAGUAAUGGGGGAUAACCAAUCGAAAGAUUGGCUAAUACCGCAUACGUCCUAAGGGAGAAAGCGGGGGAUCGCAAGACCUCGCGUUAUUCGAGCGGCCGAUAACUGAUUAGCUAGUUGGUGGGGUAAAGGCCUACCAAGGCGACGAUCAGUAGCGGGUCUGAGAGGACGAUCCGCCACACUGGGACUGAGACACGGCCCAGACUCCUACGGGAGGCAGCAGUGGGGAAUUUUGGACAAUGGGGGCAACCCUGAUCCAGCCAUGCCGCGUGUAUGAAGAAGGCCUUCGGGUUGUAAAGUACUUUUGUUAGGGAAGAAAAGGGAAGUGCUAAUACCACUUUUUGCUGACGGUACCUAAAGAAUAAGCACCGGCUAACUACGUGCCAGCCGCCGCGGUAAA
rnacentral:rRNA from 1 species